GCCCCCUUAGCUCAGUCGGUAGAGCGCUUCCAUGGUAAGGAAGAGGUCUUCGGUUCGACUCCGGAAGGGGGCU
rnacentral:tRNA from 1 species